rnacentral:hammerhead_ribozyme from 11 species
AACUGGUCAGGAGCUAGAGUCGUUCCCCUAAUGAGUCCAUGGCAGAACGAAACUAGUU